GAUGAACGCUGGCGGCGUGCCUAACACAUGCAAGUCGAGCGAAAACACGAUGAGAUUGUGCCCUUGCCGGUAGCGGCGGACGGGCGAGUAAGACGUACAUAACCAUCUAAUUUUACUGGGAGGAUUACGGGAAACAGCUGACAAUACUAGAGCAUAUAACGUACCGCAUGAUUCAAUAGUUGUUCGCGGCUUUCGCGUCUCUUUUAGACGGUGCCGUGUCGCAUUAGCUAGUUGGUAAGGUAACGGCUUACCAAGGCAACGAUGCGUAGCCGACCUGAGAGGAUGAUCGGCCACACUGGAACUGAGACACGGUCCAGACUCCUACGGGAGGCAGCAGUGGGGAAUAUUGGACAAUGGGCGAAAGCCUGACGCAGCAACGCCGCGUGGGUGAAGAAGGUCUUCGGGUUGUAAAGCUCUGUUAUUGGGAAAGAACAGCUGUGUGAGAAUACACGGCCGUCCUGACGGUACCUAAAGAAAAAGCACCGGCUAACUUCGUG
rnacentral:rRNA from 1 species